UUGGAGGGCAAGUCUGGUGCCAGCAGCCGCGGUAAUUCCAGCUCCAAUAGCGUAUAUUAAAGUUGUUGCAGUUAAAAAGCUCGUAGUUGAAUUUCGGGAUCAAUAUAUCGGUCGUGCCUUGGUACGUACUGGUAUCAUUGGUUUCCCCUUUCUGACGAACCAUGAUGUCAUUAAUUUGGUGUUAUGGGAAGUUAGGACUGUUACUUUGAAAAAAUUAGAGUGUUUAAAGCAGGCUUUAGCUUGAAUACAUUAGCAUGGAAUAAUGAAAUAGGACGUUCGAACCUAUUUUGUUGGUUUCUAGGAUCAACGUAAUGAUUAAUAGGGAUAGUUGGGGGCAUUAGUAUUCAAUUGUCAGAGGUGAAAUUCUUGGAUUUAUUGAAGACUAACUACUGCGAAAGCAUUUGCCAAGGAUGUUUUCAUUAAUCAAGAACGAAAGUUAGGGGAUCGAAGACGAUCAGAUACCGUCGUAGUCUUAACCGUAAACUAUGCCGACUAGGGAUCGGAUGAUGUUAAUUUUUUAAUGACUCAUUCGGCCGCCUUACGGGAAAC
rnacentral:rRNA from 1 species